UACGAAGGGUGCAAGCGUUGUUCGGAUUUAUUGGGCGUAAAGCGCGCGCAGGCGGAUAAUCAAGUCAGGUGUGAAAUCUUGGGGCUCAACCCCGAAAUUGCGCCUGAAACUGGUUGUCUAGAAUCUCGGAGGGGGCAGGGGAAUUUCACGUGUAGGGGUAAAAUCCGUAGAGAUGUGAAGGAACACCUGAGGCGAAGGCGCCUGCCUGGACGAGUAUUGACGCUGAGGCGCGAAAGCGUGGGGAGCAAACAGG
rnacentral:misc_RNA from 1 species